rnacentral:rRNA from 1 species
AACACGUAGGGGGCGAGCGUUGUCCGGAAUCAUUGGGCGUAAAGAGCUCGUAGGCGGCUUGUCGCGUCGGAUGUGAAAGCCCGGGGCUUAACUCCGGGUCUGCAUUCGAUACGGGCAGGCUAGAGUUCGGUAGGGGAGAUCGGAAUUCCUGGUGUAGCGGUGAAAUGCGCAGAUAUCAGGAGGAACACCGGUGGCGAAGGCGGAUCUCUGGGCCGAUACUGACGCUGAGGAGCGAAAGCGCGGGGAGCGAACAGG